rnacentral:misc_RNA from 1 species
UCAAUGAGAGCUGACAAACUGUAACAAAAAAGCAUUAAAAAUCAGAAGGGGGAAGUUCUAUAGGAGCCGGCUUAAUAAUAGCCAUGUAAGUAAAUAUUAUAUAGCCUAAUGCUUUAAAAAUAGCAAACUCAAUAGCAGCAACAUUUAGCUUCACUUAAUACUGCAAGAACUACCUACUUAUUGUAAAUCAGUGCAAUGGAGUUGUCAUAAGACAACAGAACAUGUUAAGACAUCAUAUGCCCAAACAUCCCCCCCAAAGUUAGCAAUGGGUCCUUAUCUUUUACACCAUUCAACCUUGGUUACAUAAAAGAGCCAUGUGUUUGCUCUAAUCACUAUUCUCAUACCUUAAGUAAUCAAAUAUAUCAGUG